UGAAAGACAAUGAUAGGGAAAAGUAGCUUAUGACAUUCAUGCAGGGAGAAAAUGCCAAAGACUGAAAGCAUUUUUAUGAAAAAUUAAGUGAAGUUCACCCCUGGAGUCAGCAUCGGGACCGUUUAUUGAAACGUAAAGAUGCAUCGGUGAAAAACCGUUAUCAAAGUUAAGUGAACAUAAGAAAAAUGAUUAUGUUAAUUAGGGUGGUACCGCGAUGAUAACCUCGUCCCUUUU
rnacentral:ncRNA from 1 species